ensembl:lncRNA
GCUGUAGUGUUGAGCUGCAGUGUUGACCUGUAGUGUGUAUCUGUAGUGUGUAAGUGUUGAGUUGUAGUGUUGAGCUGUAGUGUGUAAGUGUUGAGCUGUAGUGUGUAAGUGUUGAGCUGUAGUGUGUAACUGCAGUGCUGCAGGAUGUGUGAGGGACAGAGUAAGCCUGGACACAGCUGUAAACUGACCUGUCAGCACUGUUAUCUCACCACGGGUUGCCAGAUUGGAUUAAAUAAAUAACUCUACAUUUAUAAUCCACAUACUGGCUCAGAUCUUCCACAGAUCUUUCAUUCCUCUCCGUCCUCACGUCAUCAUAACUGUACUGUGCAAAAGUUUAUCCACCCUAUUUAUUUUGUACAAACUUUGUUAUAGAUUAUUUUAUUGUAUGACUUCUACACUAUUGAGUCAGUAAAAAACAUUUUAGUUUCCCAAACAUUAGGUUUCCAGCACAAACUGAAAUGUUACAGAAAUACGUUUGUAUGUCCGUAAAGAAAACAGUGAAUUACAUAAGAGACACUUUUCAUACAAAAAUAGUCAGAGUCUCCAGAAGAACCAAGUCUGGUUCUGCAAGGUUCUCAAUAAAACCUACAGCUCCUUUCAUAUAAAACCGUAGAAAGUGUACCUGAGAAUGCUAUUUUUUAAAAGUAAAGGUAUAAAUAGUUUGAAGUAUUUAUUACUGUAUACUUCUCUUUAUAGUAUUUAAUUUAAUUUUAAUUUUAAUUUAAUUUUAUUAUUUUUGAAGGCAUCUUUGCUCUACAUAAUUUAUUUGCAUGUGCCUAAGACUUUUGCACAGUACUGUAUAUUUUAGAACCAGAAGGUAAAGUAUACGCUUUAUGGGUGGGUCUAAAGGGAUUGAUCUGGCAACCCUGCACUCUGCAGUCUCUCUCAGCUUGGCCAUGCAGGGAAUCUGCACAUGAGGCUGUUUGUGUGAAAUCA